rnacentral:lncRNA from 1 species
UGCUAUUAAGAGGAAUUCAAACAUGAAAGAAUGAUUAUGGUAAAUUUAAUUUAAAUAAAGAAAGGAGGCAAUGGCUCAUAAAGAGAGAGUUAUUUCUUAUCCCUUGACUUUCAUCUCUAACCAUAAUCGAUUCUUGCUCUACACCUAUAUAAACAAGGCCAAAGGACCCCAAAAAGGACAGACUUUGAAAGGAAAAGACUCCCACAAC